rnacentral:rRNA from 1 species
GUCCACGCUGUAAACGAUGAGUGCUGGAUGUCGGAGGUAUUCACCCCUUCGGUAUCGAAGCUAACGCGUUAAGCACUCCGCCUGGGGAGUACGGCCGCAAGGUUGAAACUCAAAGGAAUUGACGGGGCCCGCACAAGCGGUGGAGUAUGUGGUUUAAUUCGACGCAACGCGCAGAACCUUACCCAGCCUUGACAUCCUUGGAACCGAGUGGAAACACUUGGGUGCUCUCGCAAGAGAGAGCCAGGAGACAGGUGCUGCAUGGCUGUCGU